rnacentral:sRNA from 1 species
GCCAGGCAUGGUAGUGCACGCCUGUAAUCCCAGUGACUCAGGAGGCUGAGACAGGAGAAUCAAGAGUUCAAAGCCAGUUUAAGCAAAUGCAAAGUGCUAAACUACUCAGUGAGACCCUGUCUCUA